CUGUCUCUCUCUCUUCUCUGCAGGGUGUGAUGGGCAGGUGCAGCUCAUCUCGGUUAAUUUUGGAGCCUACUUAAGGAGCUGGGACCAGGAGGAGGGCGUCAGUUCUUUCUCGCUACCAGCGUGCCACCAACCAAGCCAGUUUGCCACAGCCCUCCUCCAGGAGCCCACCUGCCUGUCCACCCUCCUACAAACCAUCACCUGAGGAAUGCAGAGUCAGUUGCUCCUGGACCCUGGACACAUCCUUCCUAGCUCAAGACAACCUCAAGCCCCGCUGUACCAGGAAGAUCCUGCCAGACUCCAUUUUCUGUUCCUUGUUUCAAUAAACUUUUCC